UGUCAUGUUUUCAGAGAAACAAAAAGCGAAAACUGAAAACCCGCAAUGAUAACAAACAAGCUCUAAACCAAAAAAAAAGAAAACAGUGGCAACACGAGGAUAGACAACUAAACGAACAGAAAAUCUUAUGCCCCUCGUCUCCGGACUGUUCCCAGAAUACUAUGCUAAGUUUUAAAUACUUGGAAGAAAACCUUCGGGCUAGAAAUACCAGAACAUGAAAGCAAUUACAAAAUUGUAGAAAACCAAACUUCAUUGUUUCAGUAUUACGAUGGACAUAUACUCCACAAAUGAACAAAUUUUAAUCAGGUUAAAGAUUUCUUGUGUAACUUCUAAGAUAAAUUGCUUCCGUGGAGUCAUCACAGGGCUCGCAAAUCCGAGAAGGAACAUGAUUAAAUUUCCUUUUGGAGGUAUCUGGUAAAUAACU
rnacentral:lncRNA from 1 species